rnacentral:lncRNA from 1 species
UCGGUAUGGUAAAGCCUUGGCCAUUUUUGGACCGUUUUUGGCGCAAACGUUGUGCACCCCGAACGAGCCCCACCCGACCCCUAGGCCCUGGGCUUUUUUUCUGUGUCAUACUGGGUGCAAUAUAGAUGGGUUCCACACCUAUCCGCGGCUAUCAUCGGCCUAAAUAGGUUGCACAAGAUCAAAGAAACAAAACUAGUCCAUGGGAAGAAAAGCAUUGGGACGAAAAUAAAAACUGAGUCCAGGCAUCUUCGAGCGGUUCUUGUGGGAAAAAACCUUGAUAUUACUUAGAGUGAGGCCUCCUAGUAGUUAUCUGGGAAUUUUCGGGACGUUUCUCACAUGGUUAAAAAUCGGCAGAUUUUCGGUAUGGUAAAGCCUUGGCCAUUUUUGGACCGUUUUUGGCGCAACCGUUGUGCACCCCGAACGAGCCCCACCCGACCCCUAGGCCCUGGGCUUUUUUUCUGUGUCAUACUGGGUGCAAUAUAGAUGGGUUUCCACACCUAUCCGCGGGCUAUCAUCGGCCUAAAUAGGUUGCACAAGAUCAAAGAAGCACAACUAGUCCAUGGGAAGAAAAGCAUUGGGACGAAAAUAAAAACUGAGUCCGGGCAUCUUCGAGCGGUUCUUGUGGCAAAAAAACCUUGAUAUUACUCAGAGUGAAGCCUCCUAGUAGUUAUCUGUGAAUUUUCGGGACGGUUCUCACAUGGUUAAAAAUCGGCCGAUUUUCGAGUAUAGUAAAGCCUUGGCCAUUUUUGGACCGUUUUUUGCGCAACCGUUGUGCACCCCGAACGAGCCCUAGGCCCUGGGCUUUUUUUAUGUGUCAUACUGGGUGCAAUAUAGAUGGGUUUCCACACCUAUCCGCGGGCUAUCAUCGGCCUAAAUAGGUUGCACAAGAUCGAAGAAGCACAACUAGUCCAUGGGAAGAAAAGCAUUGGGACGAAAAUAAAAACUGAGUCGGGCAUUUUCCGAGCGGUUCUUUGUGGAAAAACCUUGAUAUUACUCAGAGUGAGGCCUCCUAGUAGUUAUCUGUGAAUUUUCGGGACGGUUCUCACAUGGUUAAAAAUCGGCCGAUUUUCGGUAUGGUAAAGCCUUGGCCAUUUUUGGACCGUUUUUUGCGCAACCAUUGUGCACCCAGAACGAGCCCCACCCGACCCCUAGGCCCUGGGCUUUUUUUAUGUGUCAUACUGGGUGCAAUAUAGAUGGGUUUCCACACCUAUCCGCGGGCUAUCAUCGGCCUAAAUAGGUUGCACAAGAUCGAAGAAGCAAAACUAGUCCAUGGGAAGAAAAGCAUUGGGACGAAAAUAAAAACUGAGUCUGGGCAUCUCCGAGCGGUUCUUGUGGGAGAAAACUUGAUAUACUCAGAGUGAGGCCUCCUAGUAGUUAUCUGUGAAUUUUCGGGACGUUUCUCACAUGGUUAAAAAUCGGCCGAUUUUCGGUAUGGUAAAGCCUUGGCCAUUUUUGGACCGUUUUUUGGCGCAACCUUGUGCACCCCGAACGAGCCCCACCCGACCCCUAGGCCUGGGCUUUUUUUAUGUGUCAUACUGGUGCAAUAUAGAUGGGUUUCCACACCUAUCCGCGGGCUAUCAUCGGCCUAAAUAGGUUGCACAAGAUCGAAGAAGCACAACUAGUCCAUGGGAAGAAAAGCAUUGGGACGAAAAUAAAAACUGAGUCCGGGCAUUUUCGAGCGGUUCGUGUGGGAAAAAACCUUGAUAUUACUCAGAGUGAGGCCUCCUAGUAGUUAUAUGUGAAUUUUCGGGACGGUUCUCACAUGGUUAAAAAUCGGCCGAUUUUCGGUAUGGUAAAGCCUUGGCCAUUUUUGGACCGUUUUUUGCGCAACCGUUGUGCACCCCGAACGAGCCCCACCCGACCCCUAGGCCCUGGGCUUUUUUAUGUGUCAUAAUGGGUGCAAUAUAGAUGGGUUUCCACACCUAUCCGCGGGCUAUCAUCGGCCUAAAUAGGUUGCACAAGAUCAAAGAAACAAAACUAGUCCAUGGGAAGAAAAGCAUUGGGACGAAAAUAAAAACUGAGUCUGGGCAUCUCCGAGCGGUUCUUGUGGGAGAAAACUUUAAUAUUACUCAGAGUGAGGCCUCCUAGUAGUUAUCUGUGAAUUUUCGGGACGUUUCUCACAUGGUUAAAAAUCGGCCGAUUUUCGGUAUGGUAAAGCCUUGGCCAUUUUUGACCG